rnacentral:rRNA from 1 species
CCCUUAGAUGUUCUGGGCCGCACGCGCGCUACACUGACGAUGGCAACGAGUUUUUCCUUCGCCGAAAGGUGUGGGUAAUCUUUUGAAACAUCGUCGUGCUGGGGAUAGAUCAUUGCAAUUUUUGAUCUUGAACGAGGAAUUCCUAGUAAGUGCGAGUCAUCAGCUCGCGUUGAUUACGUCCCUGCCCUUUGUACACACCGCCCGUCGCUACUACCGAUUGAAUGGUUUAGUGAGGACUCCUGAUUGGCGCCGCCGCCCCGGCGACGGAGCAGCGGACUGCCGAAAAGUUGUUCAAACUUGAUCAUUUAGAGGAAGUAAAAGUCGUAACA